GACAGAGGGUGCAAACGUUGUUCGGAAUUACUGGGCGUAAAGCGCGUGUAGGCGGCCAUCUAAGUCGGGCGUGAAAUCCCCACGGCUCAACCGUGGAAGUGCACUCGAAACUGGAUGGCUAGAGUCCUGGAGAGGAAGGUGGAAUGCUUGGUGUAGAGGUGAAAUUCGUAGAUAUCAAGCGGAACACCGGUGGCGAAGGCGGCCUUCUGGACAGUGACUGACGCUGAGGAGCGAAAGCGUGGGGAGCGAACAGG
rnacentral:rRNA from 1 species